GCGGCAGCUUAACACAUGCAAGUCGAACGGUAACUUUUAGUGCUUGCACUGAAAGACGAGUGGCGGACGGGUGCGUAACGCGUAUGCAAUCUACCUUUUACUAGGGUAUAGCCCAGAGAAAUUUGGAUUAAUCCCCUAUAAUAUCAAAAUUCCGCAUGGUUUUUUGAUUAAAGCUUCGGUGGUAAAAGAUGAGCAUGCGUCCUAUUAGUUUGUAGGUGAGGUAACGGCUCACCUAGACUACGAUAGGUAGGGGCCCUGAGAGGGGGAUCCCCCACACUGGUACUGAGACACGGACCAGACUCCUACGGGAGGCAGCAGUGAGGAAUAUUGGACAAUGGACGAAAGUCUGAUCCAGCUAUGCCGCGUGCAGGAUGACAGCCCUACGGGUUGUAAACUGCUUUUAUACAGGAAGAAAUUCCCCGACUUGUCGGGGCUUGACGGUACUGUAAGAAUAAGGAUCGGCUAACUCCGUGCCAGCAGCCGCGGUAAUACGGAGGAUCCAAGCGUUAUCCGGAAUUAUUGGGUUUAAAGGGUCCGCAGGCUGUUUUUUAAGUCAGAGGUGAAAUCCUGCAGCUCAACUGUAGAAUUGCCUUUGAAACUGAAAGACUUGAGUUAUUGUGAAGUGGUUAGAAUGUGUGGUGUAGCGGUGAAAUGCAUAGAUAUCACACAGAAUACCAAUUGCGAAGGCAGAUCACUAACAAUUAACUGACGCUCAGGGACGAAAGCGUGGGUAGCGAACAGGAUUAGAUACCCUGGUAGUCCACGCCGUAAACGAUGGAUACUAGCUGUAUGUCUACCUUAGGUAGAUGUGUGGCUAAGCGAAAGUGAUAAGUAUCCCACCUGGGGAGUACGAU
rnacentral:rRNA from 1 species